UGCCAGACUGUGAACAAGAUGCCACCCCCAAAUGAUGUAGUCAAUGGUGCUACCAAAAUCUACUGCAAAUAACCUAAUAAUUGUACACAGACAUCUUGACAUAGGCCAGUUCUCAACAACAGUAAAAUUUUGAGCCUGGAGUAUGAGAGCUGUAGAAAGGACAGCAGAAAAGAAGCAUUGAAAAUAAAUAAAAACUGGUCAGGGGAAAUUUGACAGAACAGGCCUCAAGAGAAAAAGACUGAGAUCCUCAGAGGAAGAGGGAAUUCUGCCUCCAGAGUGUCUUUGAACUCUAGCUGCAACAUUAUAUCUUUCCCGGGUCUCAGCCUGCGA
rnacentral:lncRNA from 10 species